AGCGAACGCUGGCGGCAGGCCUAACACAUGCCAGUCGAACGAACUCUUCGGAGUUAGUGGCGGACGGGUGAGUAACACGUGGGAACGUGCCUUUUGGUUCGGAAUAACUCAGGGAAACUUGUGCUAAUACCGAAUGUGCCCUUCGGGGGAAAGAUUUAUCGCCAUUAGGGCGGCCCGCGUCUGAUUAGCUAGUUGGUGAGGUAACGGCUCACCAAGGCGACGAUCAGUAGCUGGUCUGAGAGGAUGACCAGCCACACUGGGACUGAGACACGGCCCAGACUCCUACGGGAGGCAGCAGUGGGGAAUCUUGCGCAAUGGGCGAAAGCCUGACGCAGCCAUGCUGCGUGAAUGAUGAAGGUCUUAGGAUUGUAAAAUUCUUUCACCGGGGACGAUAAUGACGGUACCCGGAGAAGAAGCCCCGGCUAACUUCGUG
rnacentral:rRNA from 1 species